rnacentral:misc_RNA from 1 species
CUUCGGCUGUUCUAAAACUCAUCCGAUCUGCCGGCAUGUGAUCGCCUUUUUUGUUCAGCGGUAUAACCUUCGGCGAAUUCAAACGGUGGAUUUCCGCAUCGGGUUGAGUUUAAUAUUUUGUAUGGCUUUCAACAUUUUCUAUGAUUUAUCGAAGAUAAUCAAGGAUCCCGGAUACAGCAAAUAUUGAAGGCACUUCACAUCGAAUGCAACAUGACUGCCCGGAUUAUAUUGCAAGUUUUUGACGAGUAUCAAAAGGCUCGUGUCAGCUUCGUGCAAACUGUAGCAGAUCUCGCUUCCAGAGCUCAAAAUGUUGAAUCCCUAGAAAAUGCCGGUGUCUUGGACUUACUACGUCCGUUACUCUCAGACAUUGUCCCAUCAAUUCAGCAAACAUCGGCUGUUGCUCUCGGAAGAUUGGCCAACCAUAAUGACAGAGUCGCUCAAGCAAUCAUUAGGAGAGAUAUAUUACCCCAGCUACUUAGAAAUAUUGACAAACAAAGCAAAUUCUACAAGAAAGCAGCACUCUUUGUACUACGUGCCGUCGCAAAGCACUCCCCGGAAAUGGCUUCGGUGGUUGUUCAUUCUCAAGGUCUGCAAGCUAUGGUCAUUUGUUUAGAGGACUUUGAUCCAGGUGUCAAAGAAGCAGCUGCUUGGGCGAUUGGAUAUGUUGCUCGACACAACAAGAGUCUUGCUCAGGCUGCUGUUGAUGCUGGUGCUGUGCCCUUACUCGUACUGUCACUCCAAGAGCCCGAGCUGUGUCCCAAACAGAUUAGCGCCUCUGCCCUUUGCGAUAUAAGUAAACAUUCCUUGGACCUUGCUCAAACAGUUAUUGACGCUGGGGCAAUUCCCUUUUUGGCAAAGGCCAUUUCUAAUCCCGACCCUAAGCUAAAGAGGCAAGCUUUUUCCGCCCUUGGGAGCAUAGCCAAGCAUUCCAACGAAAUGGCAGAAAUGGUUGUCGAAGCUGAAAUAUUUCCGGAUGUUCUCGUUCACAUGGGGCACCCAGAUGACAAUGUCAAUAAAGCUGCCGCUGUUUUAACCAGAGAAGUGUGUAAGCACACACUCGAGCUGGCUGAACUUAUUGCAAACAAUGGGGGCAUCGGCGCGUUACUUCAAUUAAUAAGUACAUCCAAAACAGAUUCGAGAUUACCUGCUAUUAUGGCUUUGGGAUAUAUAGCUGGGCAUUCGAGCCCACUGGCUAUAGCUGUAAUCGGGUCAAAGGGUGUCGUUGAGCUGGCCCUGGUGCUUCAGCAAGAAUCUGAAGAUCAUUUGGUCACCAUAACAGUAUGGACCCUUGGCCAAAUAGGAAAACACACACCAGAACAUGCAAAAGCCUUAGCGGUGGCUAAUAUAUUUCCAAAUUUAUUAGAGCUGUACUUGGACCCUAAAAGCUCGGAGGAACUUAAAACUGAGUGCCAGGCUACGCUGAAGCAAGUUCUCCAGAAGUGUAUGCACAUCGAAGCUCUGGAGCCCUUGCUUUACAACGCGCCACCAAAUAUAUUGAAAUACGUUGUUGGCCAAUUCAGCAAGAUCCUACCAAAUGACGCAAGGGCUCGCAGGCUGUUUGUGACCAGCGGAGGAUUGAAAAAAAUUCAAGAACUUCAAACUGAUCCAGGAUCUACGUUAAUGGAGUAUGUGACAGUAAUAAGGUGCUGUUUCCCCGACGAAAUUAUUAGAUAUUAUUCUCCUGGUUAUCCUGACACGCUUUUGGAAGCAGUGGAUCAGUUCCAACCAAAAUGUCCCUCCGUCUUUACCAUGGAGCAGAAAAUGUCUGACGAACGUGGUGGCUCUAGUUCAGCGCUAUUUCACUUUAAUGAAGAACAGGGCUGAAAUUCAUUAACUCACAACCCCUCUUAGAUAAAAAUAAGAAUAUUUAAUCCUUCAGGGUUUAUUCAAUGUACAAAUUACAGCUAGACACUGAUAUUAGAUUCUAUCUAUUUCUUUAAAGUCACUAAGCUUAACAAAGAUACAAGAGUAUUAAGAUACAGGUUUAAAUAAGCUCAUUUUAUUCAGUCAUUAUGACUUGCAUCGAAAAAAAAAAACAUCCAAUUGAUGCUUGUAGCUGAAGUCAAAUCUGAUCUACGUUUUGCGCACUGAAAUAUCAUUGAUUUGGCAUGCGUUCUUUUGGAUCAAAUUAUAGAGAUUUGAAUGUUCCAGAAACUUUCUGUAAUAUGUAAAAAAAAAAAGUUGGCCAUCAUCCGCACCUCUUUUGCAUCGAGUACUCUCAAGACAUCUGAAGAUUCACGCAGUAAGCGGUCGCACGGAUUCGCCGAAGGGGACCAACGCCAAAAUGAUGACGUCUCACUCACUAGUGAGCAUUUCCUUACAUUCAACAGGAAGUGUAUUUACGUCUGCUGGUAUUAGAUUAGAAAAUCAAUUAGCAUAAAUGUACAGCCAAUAUUAAUUAACGUAUAGACAAGUAUAUUUCCAUGUUCUGUAUUUAUAAGAAGGACUAGAAUAAGAGUAGUGCUUUAAACGCACUCACAUCCUGUAAAUGAUAUUAAGACGUUUUUAAUUUAGUAAUAUAUAUUUGAUAAAUUAUUGAAUGUAUCCG